rnacentral:lncRNA from 1 species
ACCCUGCUAAAACCAAUUAGCUCCAGAUGCCUCUCUUCUUUAGCAUACAUCUCUGUCAGAUCACACCGAAGCCACCAUGAAUGAGGCUGAUUUGAUCCAACCUAUGCUCUCAUUUCAAAAUUCAAAAGUGCUCAUGAUAUUUAAUUGGCUUUAGAAUAGAUAAUGCAAGUGCAACCACUUUUUUGAAAAUUCUGACCGAAAAUUCCACCACAUGGUGCCUAAAUCGAUGACUCGACAAUCGCCAUCUUCUAUGUUCUAAGCUUUGGGGCUGACUGUGGUGGGUCUGUCUCCCCAUUAAGGACUCUACA